rnacentral:rRNA from 1 species
GCUGCGGCAGCGACACCGUGUGUUGUUGGGUAGGGGAGCGUUCUGUAAGCCUGUGAAGGUGUGCUGUGAGGCAUGCUGGAGGUAUCAGAAGUGCGAAUGCUGACAUAAGUAACGAUAAAGCGGGUGAAAAGCCCGCUCGCCGGAAGACCAAGGGUUCCUGUCCAACGUUAAUCGGGGCAGGGUGAGUCGACCCCUAAGGCGAGGCCGAAAGGCGUAGUCGAUGGGAAACGGGUUAAUAUUCCCGUACUUGGUGUUACUGCGAAGGGGGGACGGAGAAGGCUAUGUUGGCCGGGCGACGGUUGUCCCGGUUUAAGCGUGUAGGUAUGUGUUCCAGGUAAAUCCGGUUCACUUUAACACUGAGGCGUGACGACGAGGCACUACGGUGCUGAAGCAACAAAUGCCCUGCUUCCAGGAAAAGCCUCUAAGCAUCAGGUAACAUCAAAUCGUACCCCAAACCGACACAGGUGGUCAGGUAGAGAAUACCAAGGCGCUUGAGAGAACUCGGGUGAAGGAACUAGGCAAAAUGGUGCCGUAACUUCGGGAGAAGGCACGCUGACACGUAGGUGAAGUGAUUUACUCACGGAGCUGAAGUCAGCCGAAGAUACCAGCUGGCUGCAACUGUUUAUUAAAAACACAGCACUGUGCAAACACGAAAGUGGACGUAUACGGUGUGACGCCUGCCCGGUGCCGGAAGGUUAAUUGAUGGGGUCAGCGCAAGCGAAGCUCCUGAUCGAAGCCCCGGUAAACGGCGGCCGUAACUAUAACGGUCCUAAGGUAGCGAAAUUCCUUGUCGGGUAAGUUCCGACCUGCACGAAUGGCGUAAUGAUGGCCAGGCUGUCUCCACCCGAGACUCAGUGAAAUUGAACUCGCUGUGAAGAUGCAGUGUACCCGCGGCAAGACGGAAAGACCCCGUGAACCUUUACUAUAGCUUGACACUGAACAUUGAGCCUUGAUGUGUAGGAUAGGUGGGAGGCUUUGAAGUGUGGACGCCAGUCUGCAUGGAGCCGACCUUGAAAUACCACCCUUUAAUGUUUGAUGUUCUAACGUGGACCCGUGAUCCGGGUUGCGGACAGUGUCUGGUGGGUAGUUUGACUGGGGCGGUCUCCUCCUAAAGAGUAACGGAGGAGCACGAAGGUUGGCUAAUCCUGGUCGGACAUCAGGAGGUUAGUGCAAUGGCAUAAGCCAGCUUGACUGCGAGCGUGACGGCGCGAGCAGGUGCGAAAGCAGGUCAUAGUGAUCCGGUGGUUCUGAAUGGAAGGGCCAUCGCUCAACGGAUAAAAGGUACUCCGGGGAUAACAGGCUGAUACCGCCCAAGAGUUCAUAUCGACGGCGGUGUUUGGCACCUCGAUGUCGGCUCAUCACAUCCUGGGGCUGAAGUAGGUCCCAAGGGUAUGGCUGUUCGCCAUUUAAAGUGGUACGCGAGCUGGGUUUAGAACGUCGUGAGACAGUUCGGUCCCUAUCUGCCGUGGGCGCUGGAGAACUGAGGGGGGCUGCUCCUAGUACGAGAGGACCGGAGUGGACGCAUCACUGGUGUUCGGGUUGUCAUGCCAAUGGCACUGCCCGGUAGCUAAAUGCGGAAGAGAUAAGUGCUGAAAGCAUCUAAGCACGAAACUUGCCCCGAGAUGAGUUCUCCCUGAGACUUUAGGUCUCCUGAAGGAACGUUGAAGACGACGACGUUGAUAGGCCGGGUGUGUAAGCGCAGCGAUGCGUUGAGCUAACCGGUACUAAUGAACCGUGAGGCUUAACCUUACAACGCCGAAG